AGACCUUGGCGGUUACUUCUGUGGGUGAGGGACAUGGAGACCAACAAUGCUCACAGGACAGUUGAUUUAUUCAUUUCCUGAGAAAGGAAAUCUUGGCAGUCAGCCCCAUGGUUAAGAACAAAGAGGCAAAUCUGAUUUACUCAAGCUCCAGUCAUGAAGACUUUGGCUGAUGAAUCAGUGGCCACGGAGCAGAAAGACCCAUGUAAGUGUCCGAG